rnacentral:rRNA from 1 species
UGUGAGUUCGAUGAGUAGGGCGGGACACGUGACAUCCUGUCUGAAUAUGGGGGGACCAUCCUCCAAGGCUAAAUACUCCUGACUGACCGAUAGUGAACCAGUACCGUGAGGGAAAGGCGAAAAGAACCCCGGCGAGGGGAGUGAAAUAGAACCUGAAACCGUGUACGUACAAGCAGUGGGAGCCUCUUUUAUGGGGUGACUGCGUACCUUUUGUAUAAUGGGUCAGCGACUUAUAUUUUGUAGCAAGGUUAACCGAAUAGGGGAGCCGUAGGGAAACCGAGUCUUAACUGGGCGUCAAGUUGCAAGGUAUAGACCCGAAACCCGGUGAUCUAGCCAUGGGCAGGUUGAAGGUUGGGUAACACUAACUGGAGGACCGAACCGACUAAUGUUGAAAAAUUAGCGGAUGACUUGUGGCUGGGGGUGAAAGGCCAAUCAAACCGGGAGAUAGCUGGUUCUCCCCGAAAGCUAUUUAGGUAGCGCCUCGUGAACUCAUCUUCGGGGGUAGAGCACUGUUUCGACUAGGGGGUCAUCCCGACUUACCAACUCGAUGCAAACUACGAAUACCGAAGAAUGUUAUCACGGGAGACACACGGCGGGUGCUAACGUCCGUCGUGAAGAGGGAAACAACCCAGACCGCCAGCUAAGGUCCCAAAGUCAUAGUUAAGUGGGAAACGAUGUGGGAAGGCAUAGACAGCCAGGAUGUUGGCUUAGAAGCAGCCAUCAUUUAAAGAAAGCGUAAUAGCUCACUGGUCGAGUCGGCCUGCGCGGAAGAUGUAACGGGGCUAAACUAUGCACCGAAGCUGCGGCAGCGACAC